AUGGGCGAGAGGAGGAGGCGCGCGAGCGCCGUCGCCGGCGGGGACGGCCGGGGCGAGGAGAAGGCCGCGGCACCGGCGCCUGCGCCGGCGCCGACGGUGUGGUUCGCGCUCAAGAAGUCGCUGCAGUGCCGGUCCCAGUCGUCGGAGGUGCACGUGCCCAAGCCCAAGGCAAGCUCCAGCUCCAGCGCCGGCGGGCACCUCUCGUCCAUCAUGACCAAGCGCGCGGCGCGGUCGGGGUGCUCGCGCUCCAUAGCCAACCUGCGGGACGUCAUCCACGGGAGCAAGCGCCACCCGGGCCAGCCGCCCAGCUGCAGCCCGCGGUCCAUCGGCAGCAGCGAGUUCCUCAACCCCAUCGCCCACGAGGUGGUGCUCAGCACCAACUCCCGCUGCGAGCUCAAGAUCACCGGCUUCGGCGGGUGCGGCGGCCUCGGGGCGGCGGGGGGAGGAGCGCCCGCGCACGAGGCGGAGGGCGGCGGCGACGGCGGCGUCGUGUCGUCCUUCGUGGGCACGCUCCGCCCCGGCACGCCGGGGCCCGGCUGGAGCCACGGCCUGCAGUACAGCGGCUCGUGCCGGGCGGGCAGCAUGCGGUGCACGCCGCCGAGGUCGCCGAACCCGCUCCUGGACAGGGACGGCGCCCCCGCGGCCACGGCCCACCGGGCGUCCUGCGAGGUCGACGCCGCCAAGACCGGCGGCGCCAAGGGGUCCGGCGGCCUCAGCUGCCACAGGUGCGCCGAGCAGUUCGGCAAAUGGGAGGCGCUGGAGGCGCACCACCUAUCCAAACAUGCAGUGACGGAGCUGGUGGAGGGGGACUCGUCGCGGAAGAUCGUGGAGAUCAUCUGCCGGACGAGCCUGCUCAAGUCGGAGAGCAGCUGCGUGCGGAUCGAGCGCGUGUUCAAGGUGCACAACACGCAGCGGACGCUGGCCCGCUUCGAGGAGUACCGGGAGGCGGUGAAGCUCAAGGCGAGCAAGCUGGCCAAGAAGCACCCGCGCUGCCUCGCCGACGGCAACGAGCUGCUGCGCUUCCACGGCGCCACGCUCGCCUGCGCGCUCGGCUCCGCCGGCGCCAGCAGCCUCUGCGCCUCCGACAAGUGCGCCGUCUGCCGCAUCAUCCGCCACGGCUUCUCCUCCUCCAGCUCCAAGAAGGACGGCAAGGCCGGCGCCGGCGUCGGCGUCUUCACCACGUCCACCAGCGGCCGGGCCUUCGAGUCCGCCGACGAGGAAGACGACCCGGCAGCCGCGGCCGGCGGCGCGCGGAGGGCGCUGCUGGUGUGCAGGGUGAUCGCCGGGAGGGUGCACAAGCCGCUGGAGAACGUGAGGGAGUUCGUGGGGCAGACCGGGUUCGACUCGCUGGCCGGCAAGGUGGGGCCCUACGCCAACAUCGAAGAGCUCUACCUGCUGAACCCGAGGGCGCUGCUGCCGUGCUUCGUGGUCAUCUGCAAGCCUUGA
rnacentral:rRNA from 1 species